UGGGGAAUAUUGGACAAUGGGGGCAACCCUGAUCCAGCAAUGCCGCGUGUGUGAAGAAGGCCUGCGGGUUGUAAAGCACUUUCAGUAGAGAAGAAAAGCGCAGGGUUAAUACCUCUGUGUCUUGACGUAACCUACAGAAGAAGCACCGGCUAACUCCGUGCCAGCAGCCGCGGUAAUACGGAGGGUGCGAGCGUUAAUCGGAAUUACUGGGCGUAAAGCGCGCGUAGGCGGUUGAGUAAGUCGGAUGUGAAAGCCCAGGGCUUAACCUUGGAAUUGCAUUCGAUACUGCUCGGCUAGAGUAUGGGAGAGGGAAGCGGAAUUUCCGGUGUAGCGGUGAAAUGCGUAGAUAUCGGAAGGAACAUCAGUGGCGAAGGCGGCUUCCUGGACCAAUACUGACGCUGAGGUGCGAAAGCGUGGGGAGCGAACAGGAUUAGAUACCCCCGUAGUCC
rnacentral:rRNA from 1 species